rnacentral:rRNA from 1 species
UACGGAAGGCAGCAGUGGGGAAUAUUGCACAAUGGGCGCAAGCCUGAUGCAGCCAUGCCGCGUGUAUGAAGAAGGCCUUCGGGUUGUAAAGUACUUUCAGUCGUGAGGAAGGUGUUAAGGUUAAUAGCCUUAGCAAUUGACGUUAGCGACAGAAGAAGCACCGGCUAACUCCGUGCCAGCAGCCGCGGUAAUACGGAGGGUGCGAGCGUUAAUCGGAAUUACUGGGCGUAAAGGGCACGCAGGCGGUUAAUUAAGUUGGAUGUGAAAUCCCCGGGCUUAACCUGGGAAUGGCAUUCAAGACUGGUUAGCUAGAGUCUUGUAGAGGGGGUAGAAUUCCAUGUGUAGCGGUGAAAUGCGUAGAGAUGUGGAGGAAUACCGGUGGCGAAGGCGGCCCCUGGGACAAAGACUGACGCUCAUGUGCGAAAGCGUGGGGAGCAAACAGGAUUAGAUACC